ACUCUUACUCUUGGCUGAUUACUUUCCCUUGCCAUUUUUUUUGUUCUUUGUUAAUCUCUUUAUAUCCCCUCUAAAACCAGGAUACAUGAGGAUUUUUUUUUAGAACCAUGCUCCCACUUGCUUGAGGAUCUGUCCAAAUCGGCUUCCCCAUUCCUAUAAUUAUUAAGUGAGUUUUCUUGCAAGUAACAUACAUUACCUGCCUUCUCUCUCGACACUCACCUGCUACACCCUUUCCCCUCUUUCAAAAUUGAGAAAACCCUAACCCAUCUACAAAGACAACUGCACCCCUUAUAAUUCCCCUCUCAUUUUGGGUUAGUCACUGCAAUUUGUCCUUGUAACACAUACAUAAACCCCCUUACCCUCUAAUUCCUUCUCUGCAACUAUUCAAGACAAACACACGUACCUCACCAGUUCUCUCUCUCGUUCUGAUGAAGAUCGACCGAGCUCCGGCCGGCGGCGACCAGCGGCGGCGCUGGGUGACAACCGGCUGCCCCCUCUCCCCUCAGCCGACACCUACCUCACAUGUAACCCCACCCCCUUCCAUCGAUUUGUCUAAUCGGCCGACCACCACCACCGUCACGGUGGUGGUGCGAUGUCAAAACGAAGAGAGGAGAGAAGGAUAGGGAGUCUGGUAGAGAAGAGAGAGAGACGCGACAUAGAGAGAUUGGAGACGUGGAUUCCGGCAACGAUACACCGGCGACGAGCGAUGACGACGACGCCGCCGUGACGACGGCGGUGGUGCUUUUGAUUCAGAGAGUUUCACGAUAAUGAAGAGGAACUGUUGUUGUUGAUGAUGAUGGUCCGACGGAACCACGUCGGCGACGGCAAGAAAACGUUUUGUUCAUUCAUUUUCUGUUCGAUUCAGCUUUGGCAUUGGUUUCGCGGAAUGAGUAACUCGGUCUCGGUUCAGUUGGUUUUGUUCAUUUAAUUCUAAUCCCAUUUCUGAUGACAAUUUCUUUGUUGAAAUGGAAGUUAGUAAUGGUGGUGUUUCACGUUUCGCCUCGGGUCAAACCGGGAUGACUCGGUCAACACCCGGUCAACUCAGGUCAACUGCGAGUCAACGCGAGCCAGAUUCGAUCAACUGAUGAAACACGAAGAUCCGGUAAAGUUAACGACGCCAAAAAAAAAAUUGUUUUAGAUUGACUUAGUUUUUAUUUAGAUUGUUAGAAAUACGCGAACCGAGCUCGAACCAUCGUUUAUCUAGUGAUUAUACACGUUUAAUUUUUGGCACAUUUUGACGAAAAUUAUAUACAUAUAUUGUUUGAUUGACAA